CAUUAAUCUCAAAUCUGAAUACAAAUACAUUACUAAUAACUCUAGAUUCAAUAAAGCAGGUCUGCAGAUCCAGACACGUGAUUUUGCAGAACUAGCUAGCGGAUCUGCAGAUCCAGCAAGCAGGUCCAUAGAUGUCAAGUGCGCAGUUCUACAGACCCGCUUGAUUGAAUCUUUAACCAAGCACGCGAGUUUGACAGGAACACCCUGGACAUGACAGCCCAGCACCGGGUGUCUGCCUUUUAACUUUCCUGUUAAAAAAUAGAAAACUUACCAGGGUGAGGUCUGACGGUGGUGUUAACAGAGUAGCCUUGCUCCAGGAGCUUCAUGAUCAACCACGAGGCCAAGUACCCAGUGCCCCCUGUAACACACACUGUUCCUCUCUCUCCCUCCAUUUCUCUCUCCCUCUCUAAGAUGAAAUGGUAUGAAAUUGUGGUGGUGGGUUUUCCUCCCUCUCUGGUUCAUAUCCAUGGAAAGAAACGUGUCAACUCCUCUUUCAAAUUUUCAGAAGUGGUUAAC